AUGCUCAAAAUUCUCCAAGCCAGGCUUCAGAAAUACAUGAACCGUGAACUCCCUGAUGUUCAAGCUGGUUUUAGAAAAGGCAGAGGAACCAGAGAUCAAAUUGCAAACAUAUACUGGAUCAUGGAAAAAGCAAGAGAGUUCCAGAAAAACAUCUAUUUCUGCUUUCUUGACUAUGCCAAAGCCUUUGACUGCGUGGAUCACAAUAAACUGUGGAAAAUUCUGAGAGAGAUGCAAAUACCAGACCACCUGACCUGCCUCUUGAGAAAUCUGUAUGCAGGUCAGGAAGCAACAGUUAGAACUGGACAUGGAACAACAGACUGGUUCCAAAUAGGAAAAGGCUGUAUAUUGUCACCCUGCUUAUUUAACUUAUAUGCAGAGCACAUCAUGAGAAACGCUGGACUGGAAGAAACACAAGCUGGAAUCCAGAUUGCCGGGAGAAAUAUCAAUGACCUCAGAUAUGCAGAUGACACCACCCUUGUGGCACAAAGUGAAGAGGAGCUAAAAAGCCUCUUGAUGAAAGUGAAAGAGGAGAGCGAAAAAGUUGGCUUAAAGCUCAACAUUCAGAAAAUGAAAAUCAUGGCAUCCGGUCCCAUCCCUUCAUGGGAAAUAGAUGGGGAAACAGUGGAAACAGUGUCAGACUUUAUUUGGGGGUGGGGGCGGGUGGGCUCCAAAAUCACUGCGGAUGGUGACUGCAGCCAUGAAAUUAAAAGAUGCUUACUCCUUGGAAGAAAAGUUAUGACCAACCUAGAUAGUAUAUUCAAAAGCAGAGACAUUACUUUGCCAACUAAGGUCUGUCUUGUCAAGGCUAUGGUUUUCCCUGUGGUUAUGUAUGGAUGUGAGAGUUGGACUGUGAAGAAGGCUGAGCGCCCAAGAAUUGAUGCUUUUGAACUGUGGUGUUGGAGAAGACUCUUGAGAGUCCCUUGGACUGCAAGGAGAUCCAACCAGUCCAUUCUGAAGGAGAUCAGCCCUGGGAUUUCUUUGGAAGGAAUGAUGCUAAAGCUGAAGCUCCAGUACUUUGGCCACCUCAUGUGA
rnacentral:lncRNA from 1 species